GACGAACGCUGGCGGCGUGCUUAACACAUGCAAGUCGAACGGAAAGGCCCCUUUGGGGGUACUCGAGUGGCGAACGGGUGAGUAACACGUGAGUAACCUGCCCUUGACUUCGGGAUAACUUCAGGAAACUGGGGCUAAUACCGGCUAGGAAUCCUUGCUGCAUGGUGGGGGUUGGUAAGCUUCGGCGGUUUUGGAUGGACUCGCGGCUUAUCAGCUUGUUGGUGGGGUAGUGGCUUACCAAGGCUUUGACGGGUAGCCGGCCUGAGAGGGCGACCGGCCACACUGGGACUGAGAGACGGCCCAGAUGCCUACGGGAGGAAGCAGGGGGGAAGAUUGAACAAUGGGCGGAAGCCUGAUGCAGAAGCGCCGCGGGCGGGAUGACGGCCUUCGGGUUGUAAACCGCUUUCAGCAGGGGAGAAGCUUGUGGUGACGGUACCUGCAGAAGAAGCACCGGCUAACUACGUG
rnacentral:rRNA from 1 species